CCUUGUGACAGAGGGUGCAGAAAAGGCUGAAGUGCCUUUUUUGCCUCAGUCUUCACAGGCAAGGUCAGUUCCCAGACU